GGCAGCGGCAUGGCAUUGAUGUAAAGCAGGAUCCUCCUAUUGAUGAUCCGAGAGUUAAAGCAAAGAAGCUGGGACUACUAGCUGAGCCAUAUAUUUGGAGGGAAUGCAAUCAAUGUGCAAAUUGGUUGGUCAAAUGCAGCAUAUGAUCCAUCAGGACUAUAAGUUCCCCGAUGAUAUUCCAGCAAAGAUGCAAGAUUUGUUAGGAGCAAAUGUGUUAGGAGUUGCAUAUCUUCAUUUUGUUUCUACUUAAGAGGUUAUGACCUCUUCCAAUGUACCAAAAAAGAAAGAAAAAAUAAAGAGGUUCCAUUACAGAAUAUAUAUCCUUGGUGCUUCUUGCAGGAAUUUUUUUUCCCUUUUGAUUGGUCAUAUCCCAUAAUGUUGUAAGACUUCUCUAGCAGCAAAAGUGUAUAGGAAUUCUAAGGUUGCUUUCCUCAAAACUCAAUGACAGGAAUUUGUUAAGAAUGUGUUUGGAAUUAUAUUAAGUAAUGCAAAUUAGUUAA